CAUUUAAAUAUUUGAUAAUUAAUUUUUUAUUGAACACGAAUUUAUUGCAUUACUUAAAGAAACGAAUAAUAAACUAAUGAAAAAAUCGCAGAAGCUUCAGGAAAU